rnacentral:rRNA from 1 species
GACGAACGCUGGCGGCGUGCUUAACACAUGCAAGUGGAGCGACGAACCGGGGCUUGCCCCGGGGCAGAGCCGCGAACGGGUGAGUAACACGUGGGUAACCUGCCUCAAUGAUUGGGACAACCCGGGGAAACUCGGGCUAAUACCAAAUGUGUUCACUCCUUCUAAGGGGAGUGAGGAAAGGAAGCUUCGGCCUCCGCAUUGAGAUGGGCCCGCGGCCCAUUAGCUUGUGGUGAGGUAACGGCUCACCAAGGCUUCGAUGGGUAGCUGGUCUGAGAGGACGAUCAGCCACACUGGGACUGAGACACGGCCCAGACUCCUACGGGAGGCAGCAGUGGGAAUCUUGCACAAUGCGCGAAAGCGUGAUGCAGCAACGCCGCGUGGGGGAA